GACGAACGCUGGCGGCGUGCCUAACACAUGCAAGUCGAACGGAACUUCUUUAAAGGAUUUCUUCGGAAUGAAUUUGAUUAAGUUUAGUGGCGGACGGGUGAGUAACGCGUGAGUAACCUGCCUCUGAGAGGGGAAUAACAUUCUGAAAAGAAUGCUAAUACCGCAUAAUAUAUAUUUAUCGCAUGGUAGAUAUAUCAAAGAUUUAUCGCUUAGAGAUGGACUCGCGUCCGAUUAGUUAGUUGGUGAGGUAACGGCGUCACCAAGACCGCGAUCGGUAGCCGGACUGAGAGGUUGAACGGCCACAUUGGGACUGAGACACGGCCCAGACUCCUACGGGAGGCAGCAGUGGGGGAUAUUGCGCAAUGGGGGAAACCCUGACGCAGCAACGCCGCGUGAAGGAUGAAGGUCUUCGGAUUGUAAACUUCUUUUAUUAAGGACGAAGAAAGUGACGGUACUUAAUGAAUAAGCUCCGGCUAACUACGUG
rnacentral:rRNA from 1 species